rnacentral:rRNA from 1 species
AGUGAACGCUGGCGGUAGGCCUAACACAUGCAAGUCGAACGGCAGCACAGUAAGAGCUUGCUCUUACGGGUGGCGAGUGGCGGACGGGUGAGGAAUACAUCGGAAUCUACUUUUUCGUGGGGGAUAACGUAGGGAAACUUACGCUAAUACCGCAUACGACCUACGGGUGAAAGCAGGGGAUCUUCGGACCUUGCGCGAUUGAAUGAGCCGAUGUCGGAUUAGCUAGUUGGCGGGGUAAAGGCCCACCAAGGCGACGAUCCGUAGCUGGUCUGAGAGGAUGAUCAGCCACACUGGAACUGAGCCACGGCCCCGACUCCUACGGGAGGCAGCAGUGGGGAAUAUUGGACAAUGGGCGCAAGCCUGAUCCAGCCAUACCGCGUGGGUGAAGAAGGCCUUCGGGUUGUAAAGCCCUUUUGUUGGGAAAGAAAAGCAGCAGGUUAAUACCCCGCUGUUCUGACGGUACCCAAAGAAUAAGCACCGGCUAACUUCGUG